GAGAGGAAGGUAUUUGGUUCUCUCUUAUCUUAUUCUCUCCUGGUAUCUUUUACUUCUCUAUCAACUUUAACAAUUGGUGAGAAGGACAAGAGGAUGUUAGAGCUAGAGAAUCAUGAAGUUGCUUGAGUUCAACUUGGAUGGAGAUGUGAUUGAGUUUCAUUGGUAGAUGUACAGGCUUAAAGGUGUAGUAAGUCAUCUAAACCCAAGAUUAUACGUUUAGUAAUCUGCCAAUAUCUGGAGAUCCGACCGUUAGAAUACUGUGAUGUAUUAAUAUGUUCUAGUAGUAUGAGCCAUCAUGCUACAGUAAAAAUUUCACGACGAUCGGGUGACAGUAGCUACUGAAAAACCUGAAUACAUUGGGACUGCGCGUUGCAAAAACAGGAAUCUUUCACAGCCCACUCAUCCGUCAUUAUUGCAAUAUGUGGUCAUCGGAUUGAAUACAAACUCUCAUAGUCUGAUCUAUAAAGUUUGUAGGGUGAAUGUCAUCGUUCAUGGAUGUGUAUUAGUACUGUUAUUUACAUAGUACCAUGUAAUGCUUACCUCUCAUGUGAGCCUCAUGAAAAAAUGUUGUUAUUCUAUUUUCUAUGAUACCAAGCUUUAAGUAAAUGGUGGCAAGGAAGAGCCACUAUGAUUCAUUCCUGUAAUAUCAGUACAAAUUACAUCUUAAGAGAUUGAACUUUGAACUGUGCUAAAAAAGUACAAAUUACAUUUUAAGAGAUUGAACUUUGAAUUGUGCUAAAAA